ACCCCACCACGCAGGCGCAUCUCCUUAAAUCCAGUCCCUACACCCCUCCUGUUUCUCUGCAUUAAGUUCCCCCUCCUCUUUCUGCACCUCAGCAGGUUCACACUCUUCUCCGUGAGGGUGGCGGCGAUAGAGAGGUCACGUGAUGAGCAUCUUGCUGCCCAACAUGGCGGAGUUCGACACCAUCUCGGAACUGGAGGAGGAGGAGGAAGAAGAAGCGGCAACGUCGUCGUCGUCGCCGUCGUCGUCGUCGUCGGGAUCAGGGCCUGACGAUGACGAGGAAGAUGAGGAGGAGGAGGAAGAAGAAAACGAAGAGGAGGAGGAGGAAGAAGAGGAGCAGGUGGAGGAAACGCCGCCCCCGCCUCGGGUAGUGAGCGAAGAGCAUCUUCGGAGAUAUGCCCCCGACCCUGUAUUGGUGCGGGGCGCCGGCCACAUCACUGUGUUUGGCUUGAGCAACAAGUUUGAUACUGAAUUUCCCUCAGUUCUAACAGGGAAGGUGGCCCCAGAAGAAUUUAAGACCAGCAUUGGCCGUGUGAAUGCAUGUUUGAAAAAGGCUCUCCCAGUCAAUGUGAAAUGGUUGCUCUGUGGUUGUCUCUGCUGCUGUUGCACAUUGGGUUGCAGCCUGUGGCCCGUUAUUUGUCUCAACAAAAGAGUUUUCUACAUAGACAAUCAUGUCAUCUAUGAACAGUGUUUUUUGUUCUUUGGAGAUUUUAUUUGGGCACACUGUGCAGCUUACAGGAUCUUAGUUUCACAACCAGGGAUCCAACCCAGGCUCCCUGGACCACCAGACCAGAAGAUCAAUUCAGAAGUUGUUAGAAUGGGAAAAUAACAGAUUGUAUCACAAGCUUGCUUUGCACUGGAAGUUGACUAAAAGGAAAUGUGAAACUAGCAAUAUGAUGGAGUAUGUAAUACUAAUAGAAUUCUUACCAAAAUAUCCCAUAUUCCGACCUGACUGAGGGAUUUUAUUCAGUCACUUCUGUUUUACCUGUCAUUUCCUACCCUUAGUGCCUUGUAGAUGAUUUUGGAAUGAAGAUGGUCUCCUUUGCUGUGUUCAUUUAUUCUUUAUAAUGGUAGAAUAUUCUCCUCACACUUUUCAUUUGUGUUGGUUUAAGAAGAAAUUUUGCACAUCCUUUAUGUUGUUGUUAAAUGAGGCUUGUAUUUUGCACUGUCAAUUUUUAAAUAAAUACACAUACAUAUGUGUGUGUGUGUAUAUAUGUAUAUAUGUAUAUAUAUAUAUAUAUAUAUAGUUGCCACUAAAUAUAACAUCAGUGCAGGUGUUUAAAAAACAAAAACAUGUUCUGAGCAUGCUGCCUUAUAAUUUUCAUACUUACUGUUUCUAAAUAUGCAUCAUUUUUCUAGGCUAUUUAAUGCUCUGUAAUCCUUUACUGUACAUACAUAAAUAAGCUUUUGGUAGCUUUUAGAAACGGUUUUACUCUUACCUGCUUUUAAAGGACAUGCAAUUAAUAGCACUGGUUUUGUCCUGCACUUUGCUUAAUUAUCACUUAUGUUAGUGGAUAAAAUAUUUAAACUCCUAAAGACCUGUAAAUAUUGUUUCUUUGCAUAAAGUAAAAAAAUGUGAUAUGCCAUGGUUUACAGAAUGUACUGUUAUUCUUAAUGUAUUGCCAACAAUUCUGCAUAAAUUUUAAUGUGAAUGAAGUUUGCAAGCAUCCUUUUGAAUGUAUAGAUUGUUAACAUGCUGUGUUAUGGCAAAGCCAUAAUAAGUAUGUUAAAAAUUUCAGGUGUGGGCAGGAUGGCCCUUUGUAAUGAGAAGAUUAAAAUUUAAAUCAUUGUCUGAGACCUUCUGCAUUGCACCUGAAACCAAGAACCUUGUUUUUUCCAUUUAGUUCAGUACGUCCCAUUUUGUCCUCCACUUAACAAAAGAACUCAUUUGACAUCUGACACAUUUCACAGCCUCACUCUCCUCAUUUAUUUCCCUUUAUGUAUCCUUUUCUUCACUUGGAAAUACACAGGAUUAUGACCUUUAAGGGUUGUCUCAAGUUUCAGAUGUCUUAGGAAGUAUCUAGACCCCACCCCCAGGAAAGCCACUGCUAACCCGUUUCUGGAGUUAUGAUCCACUUUGAGAAAGAGAGAGAGCUAAUUGAAAAGCUCUACCUAAAGUGGCAGAUUCAUAAUUGAUUAAAUACUCUUAAUCCUCAUUUUGGGGAUCUUUUGUAAAGGUAUGGAUGUUAUUAAUGAGGAAAGACAAGAAUUUAACAAAAAUAUUUUAGUUUCUAAAUUAGCCACACAUGCAGCCUUUUCAUUGGUAUGUGCAUAUUUCUCUAUUUCUCUUCACAUUGGAAUAAGAGCAGACACUCGUAAUUCUUCUAGAAUUUGAGUUUUUAACCUAAUGAAAACUUUACAUUGCAUUAGUUCAACUGCAAAUUAUGCCUGUAUGCAGACACUAUUUGUAAUUUGUAGUGCUGAAAAUAAAAGUAUCUGAGACUGAAUAAUAUUUUAUUUAUUAUUUUAGUCUUAUUGCUAUUAGUUAGCUUUUUUAGGCAAACAUUCAUCCCAGUGAAGAGAGCAAUCAUUUUUUUAUACAAGGGCUUUUAAAGCCACUUUUAAAAUUUAUGCCUAAUUUGAAAUCCGCAGUCCUGGACGAAUAAAAGAAAAGGGAAAAAAAGAGAUUUUUGAUAUGUGAUUAUAAUUGCAUGAACAACUUUUCCACCUCUCUCUGUAGAACCCUGUUACCCCCAUGCCACCCAGAAUCUCUAACUUUUAAUAUAUUGUGUGUGCCUGCAAAUAUCAUUUGUCUGUCUGCUGAAAAAUUGAAGGUGCAUUUUUAUAGACAAAGUGGAAACCUCUGAAAAUGUAUACCAAAUGUCUUGUUUUAUAGAUAAGUUCGGGGAAAAAUUGUAUCUGUGGUUUAUGUUCCAGCUAGUAUCAUCAGGUUUAUGUUUCAAUUUGUGACAGUUUAAUACCAAAAUUGAUUUCCAGCGUAAUACAAAAUUUCUAAUUAUCACUGAUAGAAUAAUUACUUUGAGUCAACCCUUAAAAUCUCAUUUUUUUCCUGUAAACUUAGAAUUUGGCCAUAUGAUGGUCAUAGUAACUUUUUCUGCCAUGUAUAGAUCACACUUGUUUUGCUCAAAGAACAGCAGGAAGUGGUGAAUUGUUUCUAUAAAACUAAUAUUGAGACAGGAAUAGAGUGCAUCUGGAGGUAACAGAGUAUAUAAUUCAAGUUACAGUAGUAUUUGUCAUAAAAAGCAUUUACCAGCAUGUGUAAACUUAAUUUUAAAACCUAUUCUAAUAACUCUUAAAUUUAUUAUCUUAUUAUUCAUUAAUCUGAUUGACUUAUUUUCUUGAACUACUCAGAAAAUACCCAAACUUUUUUCUUUCUUCUAUGACUGCUUUUUCAAGCUCUUUUCCUUUGGAGGGGACUGAUUAGCAGUUGAGUAUUUUUGAGUCCUUCAAGAGAUUUGUUUUCUUUUCAGUGAUAUUGGCAGCAGUGCAUGCUGAAAUGACAGAGUACACUGUGGACAUUAAUUUCUCCCUCACUGACUUUUUUUCUUAUAUCCUCAGGAUAGAACACAUCAAGUUAAUGAAGUAUUUUUGUGCUAGUUGUUUUUAGAUUAAAGAAACAAAUUUGAGGUUUUUUUGUUAUAUAAUACUCAUUUAUGAAACGUGCUAUGGAUGUUUCCAGAGAAAAUAACAUGUAUCUACUGAAAUAUAUAAAUCUUACAAAGUUUUGAGGUUACAAGUUAAAACUGUUCCUUCUCUGACUUUCCAUUAUGCAUCUCUACCCCCAUAAAUUGUGUAUAAAAUGAAAUAAGCUUUAACAUUUUUCAGCUAUUCUUUGACUCUUUCUACCCUCUAUGUUAAUCUAGGAAGAAACCAUUGUAGUCAAAUGUUAGAAGUAGAUGGAGAAGUGCCUUGUCGUCUUUGAAUAAAGAUAACAUUUUAUGUUGAAGGAAGCAGAACAAAUGAAUUGGUAAAUCAUUACAUUAAAACCAUCCUUUUCAGCUAAGUAUAAUAUAAGAAUAUUUUAUUAGUAUAUUGUAUUUCUUCUAUUUCUUAUUUAAAGCCUAUUUCCUGGGUUUUCCCCAACCAUGAGAUGUAUUAGUGACAAAAUAUUACAGAACAGAAGUAUCAGUCACUUAUAAACCUAGUAUAAUUCUAAUGCUAGUAAACAUGUAAUUUAGCAUGGUCCUGAAAAAACAAUAGUCUUUGAUUGAAGCUCUACUAAAGCCUACGGAAGUAUUUAACACACACACUGUUCAUGUUAUCAUGACCUAUAAACACUAAUGUCUGAUCAGUUAAUCAAACUGUUACUAUUUAGCACUCUACCAUUUUAAUGAAAUUUAUUCUUAUUUUAUCAUAGUUUGAGUGAAGUUCCAUAACAUUUGUAAGCCUUCAAACAAAUGGGUUUUUUUUUAAAUGUAAAAUCUCUUUAAAUAUCAUUAGCAUUUUAAUUUUGUUUAUAAAUUACCACUCAAAAAAUCAGACCUCACUACUUAAAGCCUCCAAACAGUUUUUUUAUUAGAAUUGACUAUAUUGACCUGAGAGGGUAUAUAGAAAUUUGUAUACACCCAUUUAAUUGGAACAGUUUCACAUAGUGGGAAUACUUUUUGCUAAUUUGAUAAUAAGAUGCUCAGAUUCACUGAAAUUAAGUCCUCUUAUGCUUAUAAAAUUCUACUUUAAUCCAUUGUGUAACAAUUGUUAAAUCCUUUGGGUUAUUUUAAAUGAUGAACUAUUGGAAAAUUUUCCAUAGAAAGUGAAUAAUGAAUAGAUUUUAUUAAUAAUACCUGUCCAUGUAAUAUGUGGAAUAUAUAUAUAUGUGUGUGUGUGUGUAUUAUAUAUACACAUUUUCCUAUAUUACCCCCAGUUUCUCUUUUCCUGAUUCUGAGCCAGCCUUUUCAUUUUUAUGAUGGCAACCUGGGAAUAUGUUCCAUUUUCUGUGGAAUUUGUCAGAUUCAUACUAUAUGAGGAAAUGAUCUAAUGUGCUCCAGGCAAGUCACUUACAUUACAUGUCAGUCUCUUCAUCUGUAAAAUCAUGAGAUUGAACUUAGAGCUGUACAGAAAAUUAGAGGUCACCUGACAUUCUGUGAUACUAGGAAUCCUUAGGAAGUUUUUACUCUACAGAAUCUCAGAAUGAUUUUUCUCAAAUCUACUACCCUUCAUGGAAAUUCUCACAGUGCCUUGCACACAAUAAAAGUUUGAUUUGCCAACAGGCACCUAGCUGGUAUGUAUUCAUAUCAUACAGACUCAAAGAACCUGAUGCCUGUGAGAUCUCAGCACCUCCUUGGUGAUAAGAAUGAUUGUAGUUUCCCUAGGAACUGAGGACUGAGGUCUAUGGGCUUUACCUAUGUGGAAUCUGACUAUAUAUGCAGUUGGUACCUGAGCAAGAAUUAUGGCUGCAACAGUUGUGGAGGUAUAGUAAGACCCACCUUGACAUUGAUGUGAAAGAGAAUUUUAUAUCCCAUUCAAUAUCUGCUUCAGUGUCUUAAUUAUUUCCAUAUCCUCAAAAACAUCUGUUGGAACAAAUUAAUAUUAGAAAGGAAAGUGAUAUAGAAGUCAAACCCAAGUCACUUCUGGUUUAAUUCUUAGCUCUGCUGCUUAAUUCUUCUGUACCUCAUGUCCUCAUGGUGAAAGUGGGGACAAUAAUCUGGACCUACCUCACAGGGGAAUUGAGGAUUUUUUCAUAUAUAAAUGUGCUUUUGAAAUUGACUGAAGGAUGUAUUGUAUAUCAUGAUUUUGUAAUUUCUAAAUAGAGUCCUUUAAAUCUAUGUUGUUAUGUUUCCUUUCUCAGUCAAACGUUACAGAAUGAGUAUUGCAAUUAAUCUAGUUUUGGUAGUAAUUUUGUUAUUAAUCCCUUAUGUAUUAACAUGGAUAAUUGUGUUAUAAUUGUGUUAUAUUGUGUUAUAAUACUUGGUUUAGGGGAGGAAAAGCACAUGGAUGUAAACCAGUGGUUCUCAACUUGGGGCAGAUGAAAAUAGCAGUGGGGUCAUCCUUGAACCUUUUUCAGUAUUUCAAAAAGUAUACUAGAAAUCAUCCAUUUACCCAUAACAUUGGCUGCACAAGCCAACUAAGACAGAAUUUUUACACAUUUUGUUUAUAUUUCUUCAAUUCUAACACUGAUUAUCUGUAUUGAUCAGAAACUGUGAAUGGUGGUUAGGCUUUUAAUUAUUUUUUUAAAUGAGAAAGCCUAUUGUUAUAUGCAAUUUAAUAAAUAAAAUACUUGAAAAUAUGGGGAAAGAAUAAUAAAGGAAUCUUUAUGGCAGAAAUGUUGGGAGCCACUUUCAUAAAGGAACCGAAAUUAUUUGACCUCCACAGGUUGCUUACCUAGUCCCUAAAUAAUGAAAUGCUAAAAUGUGUGUGUGUGUUUUGGCUAGAUUGGGCUAUAUAACUUCAGGUUAGAACUUGCCUUCAGUUUUUUUCUGAUUCAGGAUGAUAUAAUUGAGCUAAUUUAUCUGGGUGUAUAUGUGUAAAUCAUACAUAUACACACAUACAGGAUUGCAAGUGUGAAAAGCAUUAUAAUGUCGUCUUCUAGCAUUGGAGUAAACACCAAUUUCUGAGUCUCAAAGUAGUUCUGUGUGUAAAGUCAACAUGAAGUCAAUUAUUGCCUUAAGCAAUAAUUUCUCAAAUGUUUCUUUUAUUCCUGCUUAUUUUGUUUGCUUUGAUCUUUGCUUAAUUUUUUAACUUUUCAUUUUAUAGUAAGCAAAUAGUAUGAAAUUGAUUUAAUGCCUGGACUUUGAAACCAGUUACAAAUGUUUGCAAUUAUAUGAUCUACAGGCUAGUUUGCCAUCCUUGAACUAACCAUGUACAAAUGCGAGUCAGCUGCAAAAACAGGAAAUCCUGCUAGAAGGUGGGCACUGAUCAAAAUAUCUGUCUGAAAAACCUAGGAUUUCUACUUUGGGGCAGAGGAUUCCUGUUGAGACAGUUUUACUAGAAAAGGGUAAAAGUGAAUAUGUCCAUUUAAGCCAAGAACUUUCACGCAUCUUUUAUUGUUGUAUAGCCUGUGGAAUGAAUCAUUUUUUCUCCCUUGAGUUCCGGAGUGACUCUCCUGGAAAAACUCAACCUAUAUACAGCUGUGCCAAAAGGAAGGAUACCUGCCUCUCUGAAACUUUCACUGCUGCUUCUGUCGUUGUUCAAUUGUCAGAUAUUAAAUUUUAUUAUCUCAGGAUGCAAAAUUACAAUAAAGUGCAAAUCUGUUAAUGAA